GGGGGUUUAACUCAAUUGGUAGAGUAUCUCGCUUACAACGAGGCGGUUAGUGGUUCGAGUCCACUAACUCCCA
rnacentral:tRNA from 1 species